CUCCAAUCCAAUAUGGAAAGCAGCUAUAAGCAGAGUCAAGGGGUUCCUUUUGCUCAGCGUUUGCUUUGCAAAAAGGAGACCUCAGAAGCUCUGGGUUAGGCAGGCCUCUGCCUGCACUUGUCUUUCUCUCUGACCUGCGUCUGCCUGUGCGGUACUCCUGUGGAUGCGAUUCUUUGUUGUUUAACUGGAAUCUCUACUUGUGAGGGAAUCAGGUGCUUGCUUGCUGUAUGCCUGGUGUCUGAUGUGCUUAUUCAGUGCAUGAAUAGAGGCCUUCCAUUUUUAUUAUGAUGAUGAGGAGGAGGUGAGCCACAUCAACAGUGACAGCAGUAGCUCUGCAGUGCCGAUUCUACCUGGGCACUUGCUGGCUGCCUCUGAGAACCCGGCAUUGGACGGGAGCCUCGGCGCAUCUCCUCUCUGGCCCUUGCAACACCGCUGCAAGAUCCUUGCAAAUGAUGUGGAUGCAGAUUAUCGGAAGAACUUCUCUUACUCAACAAUAAAAG
rnacentral:lncRNA from 1 species